rnacentral:tRNA from 1 species
GACCCGGUAGCUCAGUUGGUUAGAGCAUCUCACUUUUAAUGAGAGGGUCCUGGGUUCGAGUCCCAGCCGGGUCA